rnacentral:rRNA from 1 species
AGUGAACGCUGGCGGUAGGCCUAACACAUGCAAGUCGAACGGCAGCACAGUAAGAGCUUGCUCUUACGGGUGGCGAGUGGCGGACGGGUGAGGAAUACAUCGGAAUCUACUUUUUCGUGGGGGAUAACGUAGGGAAACUUACACUAAUACCGCAUACGACCUACGGGUGAAAGCAGGGGAUCUUCGGACCUUGCGCGAUUGAAUGAGCCGAUGUCGGAUUAGCUAGUUGGCGGGGUAAAGGCCCACCAAGGCGACGAUCCGUAGCUGGUCUGAGAGGAUGAUCAGCCACACUGGAGCUGAGACACGGUCCAGACUCCUACGGGAGGCAGCAGUGGGGAAUAUUGGACAAUGGGCGCAAGCCUGAUCCAGCCAUACCGCGUGGGUGAAGAAGGCCUUCGGGUUGUAAAGCCCUUUUGUUGGGAAAGAAAAGCAGCAGGUUAAUACCCCGCUGUUCUGACGGUACCCAAAGAAUAAGCACCGGCUAACUUCGUG